UACGUAGGGUGCGAGCGUUAAUCGGAAUUACUGGGCGUAAAGCGCGCGUAGGCGGCUUUGCAAGUCGAGUGUGAAAUCCCCAGGCUCAACCUGGGAACUGCAUUCGAGACUGCAUAGCUAGAGUAUGGGAGAGGAGAGUGGAAUUCCUGGUGAGCGGUGAAAUGCGCAGAUAUCAGGAAGAACACCCGUGGCGAAAGCGGCUCUCUGGAACGGUACUGACGCUGAGGAGCGAAAGCAUGGGGAGCGAACAGG
rnacentral:rRNA from 1 species